rnacentral:rRNA from 1 species
AAUGAACGCUGGCGGCGUGGUUAAGACAUGCAAGUCGAACGGUUUUCCUGAUGUAGCAAUGCAUCGGGAAAGCAGUGGCGAACGGGUGCGUAACACGUGAACAAUUUACCUCCAAGUGGGGAAUAGCUCGCCGAAAGGCGAAUUAAUACCGCAUACGGUAAUUUCUCGCAUGAGGAAUUCACCAAAGUCAGGGACCGCAAGGCCUGACGCUAGGAGAGGAGUUCGCGGCCUANCAGCUAGUUGGCGGGGUAACGGCUCACCAAGGCGAUGAUCGGUAGCCGGCCUGAGAGGGUGUCCGGCCACACUGGGACUGAGACACUGCCCAGACUCCUACGGGAGGCUGCAGUCGCGAAUCAUUCACAAUGGGCGCAAGCCUGAUGAUGCCACGCCGCGUGC